rnacentral:tRNA from 1 species
GAGGGUAUAGCUCAGUGGUGGAGUGCAUGCCUAGCAUGCAAGAGGUCCUGGGUUCAAUUCCCAGUACUUCUA